rnacentral:lncRNA from 1 species
AAAGAGAACCUUGGAAUGUUUCAACUAGAUAUAUAUAUCUGUCUCAAUCUCUUCACUUUGUCAUUUUUCUUUUCUUUAAUUCUAUUGGGACCUGCUAUCACUUCCUUUGUUUACAAUGGCUCUGCUUCUCUCCAAGCUUUUGCAAUAAAAGCAAUAUAUACACUUUUCCUUUGCUGCUCUUCAAGAAUAGUUUUCACCCAAAAGAUAAAUAAUCAAGGACAUCAACAAAAUGUUCACAAACAAUGAAAUGCUCAUGAUUGAAGGUAAAAUGUUUAAAACUUAUAAUUUAUGUGUCUCCAACUGGCAAAAAAAAAGUUAAAUUGAAAUUCU